AGCAGAGAGGUUCCCCAGCGAUCCGGCGAGGUGGGAGAGUAAUUACACUUGGCACGCGCUGCGAAUGAGGAGCUGCUGGACACAAACCCUCCGAGGAGUUGAGGCCGAGUGCACGAAGCGCGGAGAGACGCCAGCUCCUCGGGCCUCGCGGCGGACGGGACAAUGGGACGUCUCCCCGCUCGGGCCAAAUGCCUCCGCUCGCGGCAUCGAUCCUUUUCAGCAGCUCGCCACGCGCUCGGAACCCACGCUUUUUUCGCUUUCCGCCACUUUGUAAAACUCUGCACCCUGGGCUUGUUGGGCGUUUGGCAAAUAACAGUCAGGUUGGACGCUGGGAUGUGCGGGGAACGAAGCGGGCUGUGGGAGCUCUUCGAAAGGGAGAGGAUGGACGAAGAGCUGACCGUCCCCGACCGGCCUUGUCUUAUCGCCCUGUGUCGAGAUGGAUUGGCAGGCCAGCGUUACCUUGGCGGCUUGACGCGCCGAGUCAUGAUUAACGACCCCGAUGGAAGGUGAUUACGCUGAAAAUGAUCUCCAAUGAGGAAAUAAGAACUGGAUGGAUAAUAAAUAGCUGACACCUUCAGGACCUUGACAGAAUAAAUAGCUUUUUUAAUGGGAGGAAUAUGACGACAGUACAGUGUUUUAUAAUGAUGUUGGUUUAACGACCGCAGUAGCGGGGCAGACUGGGCGGGGGGUGGAAUGCAUUUCUCUUAAAAAAAAGAAAAAAAAAAAUCAAUCAUUUUCAAUGAGGGAUACAGUAUUUCGAGGAGAUAGCUGGUGCAAUGGGGAAAAUGAAAAUGAGGCUCACUUCCCAGAGCCAUGAAAUUAUUUUCACGUGUACAUCUGUUUCAGAUGUCGCCUUUGCUCUUUGACACUAAACGCGUUCAUAUAAACAAACAAACAAAUCCCCAUGACAUCGUCUGACACAUCUCCACCGGUUGUGUGUU